GGAUGCUAGUCAUGCCAGACAAUAAAAUCGGAACGAUACAGAGAAGAUCAGCAUGGCCGAUGUGCAAGGAUGACAGGCAUAAAUUGAGUACUAUAUUAUG